rnacentral:rRNA from 1 species
UAGGGAAUCUUCCGCAAUGGACGCAAGUCUGACGGAGCAACGCCGCGUGAGUGAAGAAGGAUUUCGGUUCGUAAAACUCUGUUGUUAGAGAAGAACAGCGCAUAGAGUAACUGUUAUGCGUGUGACGGUAUCUAACCAGAAAGCCACGGCUAACUACGUGCCAGCAGCCGCGGUAAUACGUAGGUGGCAAGCGUUGUCCGGAUUUAUUGGGCGUAAAGCGAGCGCAGGCGGUCAAUUAAGUCUGAUGUGAAAGCCCCCGGCUCAACCGGGGAGGGUCAUUGGAAACUGGUUGACUUGAGUGCAGAAGAGGAGAGUGGAAUUCCAUGUGUAGCGGUGAAAUGCGUAGAUAUAUGGAGGAACACCAGUGGCGAAGGCGACUCCCUGGUCUGUAACUGACGCUGAGGCUCGAAAGCGUGGGUAGCAAACAGG